GACGAACGCUGGCGGCGUGCUUAACACAUGCAAGUCGAACGGGCCUUGUCCCCUUUUUUUUUGGGGGUGGGGUUAGUGGCGAACGGGUGAGUAACACGUGAGUAACCUGCCCCUCACUUCUGGAUAACCGCUUGAAAGGGUGGCUAAUACGGGGUGUUCUGGCCUGCUCGCAUGGGUGGGUUUGGAAAGAUUCGACCGGUUUGGUUGUUUUGGUGGGGGAUGGGCUCGCGGCCUAUCAGCUUGUUGGUGGGGUGAUGGCCUGCCAAGGCUUUGACGGGUAGCCGGCCUGAGAGGGUGGGCGGUCACACUGGGACUGAGACAUGGCCCAGACUCCUACGGGAGGCAGCAGUGGGGAAUAGUGCACAAUGGGCGCAAGCCUGAUGCAGCGACGCCGCGUGAGGGAUGGAGGCCUUCGGGUUGUGAACCUCUUUCGCCAGUGAAGAAGGUCCUGCUCUUUGUGGUGGGGUUGACGGUAGCUGGGUUAAUGAAGCGCCGGCUAACUACGUG
rnacentral:rRNA from 1 species